rnacentral:misc_RNA from 1 species
UUGAAUUUUAAUGAAGAGUUUGGUUGUAGCUGGCCCAUUCAUUUGGGCAUGUGUACACCUUCCUCUUUCAUCCCACACACACCUGUGAACCUGUGAGACAGAGAUGGGGAAUUUACUUGCUGCUUUUUGGAAUACAAAGGCAAUAGGUUAUUGGACCCCCCCUCUGUCUACUCAAUUAAUAUAAACUCAAUUUAUUUUAAAACGAAUGUAAUGGAUGUAACACAUCUCAUAC